rnacentral:rRNA from 1 species
UGGGGAAUUUUAGACAAUGGGGGAAACCCCGAUCUAGCCAUCCCGCGUGAGUGAUGAAGGCCUUUGGGUUGUAAAGCUCUUUCAGCCGGGAAGAUAAUGACGGUACUAGUAGAAGAAGCCCCGGCUAACUCCGUGCCAGCAGCCGCGGUAAUACGGAGGGGGCUAGCGUUGUUCGGAAUUACUGGGCGUAAAGCGCACGCAGGCGGACUGGAAAGUUGGAGGUGAAAUCCCAGGGCUCAACCUUGGAACUGCCUUCAAAACUAUCAGUCUGGAGUUCGAGAGGGGUGAGUGGAAUUCCGGGUGUAGGGGUGAAAUUCGUAGAUAUUCGAAGGAACACCAGUGGCGAAGGCGGCUCACUGGCUCGAUACUGACGCUGGGGUGCGAAGGUGUGGGGGGCAAACAGG